rnacentral:rRNA from 1 species
UACGAAGGGAGCUAGCGUUGUUCGGAAUCACUGGGCGUAAAGCGCACGUAGGCGGAUGUGUCAGUCAGGGGUGAAAUCCCGGAGCUCAACUUCGGGACUGCCUUUGAUACAGCACGUCUUGAGUCCGAUAGAGGUGGGUGGAAUUCCUAGUGUAGAGGUGAAAUUCGUAGAUAUUAGGAAGAACACCGGUGGCGAAGGCGGCCCACUGGAUCGGUACUGACGCUGAGGUGCGAAAGCGUGGGGAGCAAACAGG